rnacentral:rRNA from 1 species
CACGUAGGGGGCAAGCGUUGUCCGGAUUCAUUGGGCGUAAAGAGCUCGUAGGCGGUUCGAUAAGUCGGGUGUGAAACCUCCAGGCUCAACCUGGAGACGCCACCCGAUACUGUCGUGACUAGAGUCCAGUAGGGGAGCGUGGAAUUCCUGGUGUAGCGGUGAAAUGCGCAGAUAUCAGGAGGAACACCGAUGGCGAAGGCAGUUCUCUGGGCCGUAACUGACGCUGAGGAGCGAAAGCGUGGAGAGCGAACAGG